AUUGAACGCUGGCGGCAUGCCUUACACAUGCAAGUCGAACGGUAACGCGGGGCAACCUGGCGACGAGUGGCGAACGGGUGAGUAAUGUAUCGGAACGUGCCCAGUUGUGGGGGAUAACUGCUCGAAAGAGCAGCUAAUACCGCAUACGACCUGAGGGUGAAAGCGGGGGAUCGCAAGACCUCGCGCAAUUGGAGCGGCCGAUAUCAGAUUAGGUAGUUGGUGGGGUAAAGGCCCACCAAGCCAACGAUCUGUAGCUGGUCUGAGAGGACGACCAGCCACACUGGGACUGAGACACGGCCCAGACUCCUACGGGAGGCAGCAGUGGGGAAUUUUGGACAAUGGACGCAAGUCUGAUCCAGCCAUGCCGCGUGCGGGAAGAAGGCCUUCGGGUUGUAAACCGCUUUUGUCAGGGAAGAAACGCUCUGGGUUAAUACCUCGGGGUAAUGACGGUACCUGAAGAAUAAGCACCGGCUAACUACGUGCCGGCAGCCGCAGUAACAC
rnacentral:rRNA from 1 species